rnacentral:misc_RNA from 1 species
GGCAUUCAUCAUGCAUGAAUUGUAAAUGUUGAUCCAGAAAGCCAGCUUUUCUUGGUGGCUAAGGCCCUGUAAGUUCGCUGAUGCAAGUUUCUCAAGCAGAAGUUUCAGUCGACGAACUAGGAAUACAGAUAUUGUUGUUCGAUUUGGGUUGACAGAAGAAGCUUCAACUGCAUAUAAAUGCUUAUAUGGACCGAUAUCUCUCCUUUCAAACUUUGAACAUAUUCCAUAAGGAUCUCCAAACUCUUUUUUCUCAAUGCUCUCGCAUGAAUUAUAUCCUGUCAAUGAAGGCAAUGUAUCUGCUGUAGUCCUGCCCUUCCUAGAGCUCAUUCUGAGAAAAAUAUUUGACAAGCAUUUCAAAAUAUUUUCCGAGAUUGUGUUUGGACUUUCAUCUGGUGAUGGUUUUCUAUCUUGAGUAACAAAAAUU